AGGAUGCUUUGGCAUUGGCGGCGGUCUAAGUUCCUUGGAACAGGACAUCACAGAGGGUGAGAAUCCCGUACGUGGUCGCCUGCCUUUGCCGUGUAAAGCUCCUUCGAC
rnacentral:rRNA from 1 species